rnacentral:rRNA from 1 species
GACGAACGCUGGCGGCGUGCUUAACACAUGCAAGUCGAACGAUGAAGAAGAGAAACGCGAACUUCGGUUCAAAUUUCACUUCGGAUUAGUGGCAGACGGGUGAGUAACGCGUGAGCAACCUACCUCUUACAAAGGGAUAGCCUCGGGAAACCGUGAUUAAUACCAUAUGACACAUUCAUAAGGCAUCUUAAGAAUGUUAAAGCUACGGCGGUAAGAGAUGGGCUCGCGUCCCAUUAGCUAGUUGGUGAGGUAACGGCCCACCAAGGCGACGAUGGGUAACCGGUCUGAGAGGGUGAACGGUCACAUUGGAACUGAGACACGGUCCAAACUCCUACGGGAGGCAGCAGUGGGGAAUAUUGCACAAUGGAGGGAACUCUGAUGCAGCGACGCCGCGUGAGCGAUGAAGGAAUUCGUUUCGUAAAGCUCUGUUCUAUGGGAAGAAAAGGAGUGUACCAUAGGAGAAAGCCCCGGCUAAAUACGUG